rnacentral:rRNA from 1 species
GACGUAGGGCGCGAGCGUUGUCCGGAUUUAUUGGGCGUAAAGAGCUCGUAGGCGGCUUGUCGCGUCGAAUGUGAAAUCUCAGGGCUCAACUCUGACAUUGCAUUCGAUACGGGCAGGCUAGAGUUCGGUAGGGGAGACUGGAAUUCCUGGUGUAGCGGUGAAAUGCGCAGAUAUCAGGAAGAACACCCGUGGCGAAGGCGGCUCUCUGGGACGGUACUGACGCUGAGACGCGAAAGCGUGGGGAGCGAACAGG